UCAAGCUUGUGGCCCUCAUAAAAAGUCCAUGAGAUUAUUUCUCAGGUGAGCAGCUAUUUUCUGGGUGAUAUCAGCAACCAUCCUCUCGUUUUGGGCUCAUGUCAAAUGAUCAAUCACCAUCCAUGUAUCAGUGAUAGAAGAUCUACAGCCCCUCUUCACAUGAACUUUUGGCAUCUUUAAGUCACAUUUUGACUCUUUAUCUCCUGUCUUCCAAAGGCACCUCUUGUGUGAUUCUCUGCAUUCUUUUCUUCCAAUGACCUCAGGGUGAGCUGAUGGUUUCCCAGUCGAAGCUACGGAGAUGUACGUGCCAAGGACAGAAAGGAAAAGCCUACAGACAAUACAAGUGUAAGGAGAAGCAGUCUGAGGUGUUUGGUCACAGUGCAGGAAGAACAAAGAGAUGAUAAUGAUGAUUGGGGUCUUUCGAGUUGCUGGUGUACCGUGUAUGGAGGAGGCUGGACAUGACGGCUACCUCAUCUCUGCACCCUCCCUUGUCGGGUAAGUUGGGAUUCAGCUGUUUGUCUUUGUGUGCUGCUCUCGAUCCUGAAAGCAUGAGGCAGUCAUCCUCUGAUGUGCUUUGAGUUCUCAUGAGAAGGCAAAUCUUGAUCAUCUUUCAUUUCUGGAUUUUGGGCUGUUGUUGUCCGUUUCCUGUAAGCAGUCUCUUUGACUUCUCAGACAUAAAACCUAACAAAGAAAGGUAAAGGUUUCUUAUUUUGUGA